AAUCCCUUAUAUAAAAAAAGGAAAUUUCCGCCUUAAGAAGAAUCGAUAAUUAAAAGGGAUAGGUAGUUGUUAAAGUAACGGUUUAACUAGCCGAAUAUUCUCUUAGUCGAAAUUGAAUGGUUGAUCGACCACAUUGGGGAUGAGAAAAACCCAAGGCAAGCGAGUACAGCAGUGGGGAAUUUUAGUCAAUGGCCCUGAACUGGCAACUUGGAGGAAUGGCCUAUAUUAGAGUGAAAAGGUUAAAUUAAUUAUAUAGUGAAAUAAAAUUCUAAAUAUAUCACUUAUAAUGACUAUGUAUAUUUAUGUCUUGACUAAUUACGUGCCAGCAGUCGCGGUAAUACGUAAGAGACUAGUGUUAUUCAUCUUUACUAGGUUUAAAGGGUACCCAGACGGAAGAAAUUUGCCAAAAAAAGGAACAGUUUCUAUCUAGAGUUAAAAAAAAAAAGGUCGAAUCUAUGGAGGAGAACUAAAAAACUAAGAUACUAUAGAGACGGGUAAGGCGAAGGCAACCUUUUAGAUAAUAACUGACGUCGAAGGACGAAGGCUAAGGCAGCGAAAAGGAUUAGAGACCCUUGUAGUCUUAGCAGUAAAUUAUGAAUGCCACUUAUUAAUAAUAUUUAAUUAGUAAAUGAAAAAGUAAGCCUUUCCCCUCAUGAGUAAAGGGGCAACGCAGGAACUGAAAUCACUAGACCGUUUUUGACACCAGUAGUGAAGUAUGUGUGCGACAAGAAUAUUUAAUUCGAUGAUCCGCGAAAAACCUUACCACAACUUGAAUUAUUCAUA
rnacentral:rRNA from 1 species